GUGAGCGAUGGACGAAAGCACCUUUGAGACAUUUGAGGAAGAGCUUGGCAAACCACUGGAAGACGUUCCUCCUCAGAAACCUGUCAGACAAGCGCGAACAGGAGGCAGAGCAGAGAUGUCUGCUCAGAGGAGGGUGCGAGAGGAAGCUCCAAACGUCCAGCAGGCCCCAAAGAUGAUUCCUCGGGAACAUCCGGUCUCCGGUGCCACAGCGUCGUUACGCAGAGCGCUGUCCGUCCAGAACCUGACGCAGACCGAGACGCCGUGGGAAGGUGUGACGCUGAACAGGUGUCUGAUCGCAGCCAUAACCAUCCUGCUGCUGAGCUCCGGCCUACAGAGAAUACAUGAGGUCGUCAGAGGACGUAAAGACGUCAGUGAAGAGCUCACAGCACUGCACGACAGACACGCUCUGAUUAAAAGAGGGAAAAUAACACAGCAUGAGCCUUACACUUCCUUAUGGGACACAUUGUUCUGGUGGAUUGAUGAUGAUGAUGAUGAUGAUGAAGGCAAAUCCAAGAGAGUGAGUCGCGGGAGAGUUUCCAGGGGCCUCAGACACCGGGCCCUUCCGGACCUCAGGCUCCUGAAGAAAAGAGAGACUAAAUUCACUGAGCGCAGAAGAAGAAGAAGAGGACGACGAGAAGAAGAUGAGACUAAAGAGAGACUGACAAAAGAGAAAGAGAUGAAAGUCAAGAAAGUGGAAGAAGAAGAGGAGGAGGACACAGAGGAGAUGAAGAAACCAAAGAAAGCAGUGAAAGAGAGCAAGCUAAAACAGUGA
ensembl:lncRNA